rnacentral:rRNA from 1 species
GAUGAACGCUGGCGGCGUGCCUAAUACAUGCCAGUCGAGCGAACAGACGAGGAGCUUGCUCCUCUGACGUUAGCGGCGGACGGGUGAGUAACACGUGGAUAACCUACCUAUAAGACUGGGAUAACUUCGGGAAACCGGAGCUAAUACCGGAUAAUAUAUUGAACCGCAUGGUUCAAUAGUGAAAGACGGUUUUGCUGUCACUUAUAGAUGGAUCCGCGCCGCAUUAGCUAGUUGGUAAGGUAACGGCUUACCAAGGCAACGAUGCGUAGCCGACCUGAGAGGGGGAGAGGCAACACGGGAACGGAGACGCGGCCAAGACCACGAGGGGGGGAAGAGGUGGGAAAUCUUCAGAAAGGGGCAAAGGCGUGAAGGAGAAACGCGGGGGGAGUAAGAAGGGUCUUGGAAUAUAAAAACUUUGUUAUGGGGGAAAAAAAAAUGUGAAAGAAAAAAGGCGCGUUUGGACGGUACAAAAUAAAAAACACACGGAAAACUACGCG